rnacentral:rRNA from 1 species
GAUGAACGCUGGCGGCGUGCCUAAUACAUGCCAGUCGAGCGAACGGACGAGAAGCUUGCUUCUCUGAUGUUAGCGGCGGACGGGUGAGUAACACGUGGAUAACCUACCUAUAAGACUGGGAUAACUUCGGGAAACCGUAGCUAAUACCGGAUAAUAUUUUGAACCGCAUGGUUCAAAAGUGAAAGACGGUCUUGCUGUCACUUAUAGAUGGAUCCGCGCUGCAUUAGCUAGUUGGUAAGUUAACGGCUUACCAAGGCAACGAUGCAUAGCCGACCUGAGAGGGUGAUAGGCCACACUGGAACUGAGACACGGUCCAGACUCCUACGGGAGGCAGCAGUAGGGAAUCUUCCGCAAUGGGCGAAAGCCUGACGGAGCAACGCCGCGUGAGUGAUGAAGGUCUUCGGAUCGUAAAACUCUGUUAUUAGGGAAGAACAUAUGUGUAAGUAACUGUGCCCAUCUUGACGGUACCUAAUCAGAAAGCCCCGGCUAACUACGUG